AGUGGUCAUUGACAUAAUAUAUUAUUCAAAACACUUACAAACACUUCAAAUCAAUGAUUUGCUGAAAGUAAUUACUAUUGCGCCGCUUCAGCUUUCUGAAGCGACCCUGUUGAAUCAGUAAUUGUUCUCACCAAUCGGCGGAAGUAAAUACACGCCAAUUUAAACGUCUCACGAUGAUCUAAACUUAAUUUCCGUAACCGGACCCUAACAGUAAGUCGUUGUUCCCACCAAAUGAAUUCACACCAAAGUCAAAGCCCCGUGAUAUCCUGAACUUAAUUUCCUUAAUUGGACCGCACUGUUGUAUUAUGCAGCAUUUCAAUAUCAGGUUGAAUGAAUUCAGCAAAAUAAAUUUUGCGGCAACACAUUGGAUGUGUAUCGGUAAUUCCAAGAAGAAAUCAGCUGUGCCAGGUAAAAUGAAGUGGUUACCAACAUUGCUGCUACUUCAACUCUGGAUGUCAGCCAUUGUUUGCGACGAUCGUGACAUAGAACAGACGACCGCUAAAACUCCAGGACACAAUCUCAGUGAUCGAUUCCAAAGCUCCGCCAUGCCCAAUACAACGCCAAUAAAUUUUCCAGUUGAUAGUACAACCAGAAAAGGCCAUCUACUAGAGUAUAGGAGGUUUUUGUGUGACGUCACAAGAGGGGUUUUCCGUUACUAAAAAUAGAUUGGCCGUCAACUUCUCAAUCGCGGCCUAUUAUAUUGUAUCAGAGUAAAGGUCGUCGGAAGACUUAAUACUUACAAUUUCACAAAACAAAACUAUAAAUACCCGUUUUCUUUUUUAAGUAAGACUUUAAUAAAUGAUAUUUCAAAAGUUAUAAAACAUAUAAUAAUUUGAAUAUUAUUAUAAGUGGUGUUGAUGCGAUAGUGUUAUUUUUCAUCAGAGAUUGAAAUUAAGUGUAAGGGGUGUAUUGAAUCAGUCAUAAAACAAAGCCCUUAAAUAGCUCAAUAAAUUUCAAUUUUGAAAUGCAGUUUUAAUUUUCUUUUACAUUGAAUUAAUUUUCGUUUCGUUUACAUUGAAUGAAAAUAUUCAUAAUUUAAGCAUUCCAAUUGAAAAAACACCUGCAUAUUUUGCAAAUUGAACUGUCUUUGUAUGUACAUGUAUAUUGAAAACCUUUCUCUAGUGAUAAUGAGCGAUACAAAUCUAGCAUUUUGUGAUACCAUAAAUCUACACAUUUAAUUUAUUUUCCGCAAGUAUUUUAUAUCCGUAUAUGAUGACCAAACGCGAUUGCUUGUUUUCAUGAUGAUGUUUCGAACACUGCUGCAGUAACGCACGAUCUUUACAGCAGAGUUUACAUUUGCAGGUACCCGUUAAAUACGUGAAUUGUGUAGCAAUAAAUUUGUAAAAUAUUUGAAAUGUAUAGUUAUUAAACACUUUAUUGUUAUGUUUAAA